rnacentral:lncRNA from 1 species
AAAUCUUUGAUGAUGUCAUUCUAAAGAGCAUAAAUGAGAAAAUUUCUAGUCCAAAUCGUACAACUAAAACAAGUCUCAAAAAGACUGUUUCUUAUUCUUACCAUUUCUUAUAAGAAACAAUAUGAUAAAGACUGACACAACAUCCAUGGUAUUCUGCUAAAACAUCAACUUUGAAUGGGAAACUGAAGCACAGAAACAUUGAAAUGACAAUUAAGACAAAACCACCACUUGCAGACAUGCAUCUGCAAAUUGUAUGUGCAAAGUUUUGACACGGAAUCGAAGGCCACGGCUGCUAUAAAGCUGUCUCAUGUAUAUGAGACGACCGACCCUAGAUCUCGGGUAAGUCUUUGCUUCGUAAUCCGAGGCCAUAUGUAAUAGUAUAGUAUAGUAUAAUUGUAUAUAAACAUGCAUUCCGUACGUCGUAUGUGUUUCCAGGACAGGGUUCCUUUGCCUCUGCUGUUGCCAUUUCCCCCGUAAAGAUAACUUAGAUUUAUUACUUUUAUUUUUAUCCUCCUUAUCUUUCAGGCCUAAGUGGUCCAUCUUCUCUGAAAAUGACCUUAUUAUAUGACAUCACUAUAUUUAUCUGAAGAUUUGAAGAUAAAACAGACUUAUUGCUUGCUUUUUCUUUUUCCUUUCCAAAGAACCGAAUCUUAUGAUCC